AUUACUGCUUGCCUUCUAUUCCUCGAGCAAUCAGAAACCUGUGUUUGGUUUGGUAAGUAACUGUUCCUACUGGGAUCAUGCAUCCAAUUCCAAAUGCCUAGUACUCUGUUUUUUCGACAAUCACCGCACAUUUGCUAUCUCAAUAGAUUAAUUGGUUCCUCUGUUAACCAGGGGCGUAGCUUCUGAUCCAUGACAAGCAAGCCUUAUUUACAGCAGGAUGCGUUCACUUGGAAUUUCUUAUUUUUCAGAAUGUUUUUAAUACUUGGACAUUUGUAUUGUUCAAAUUUUUGAGUAAUUCAAAAAAAUACAAGAGUUUUAUAUAUUUAUGUUUUGACAAGUUUAUUCCAUAUGUUUUUCAACAUACUUUCUAGAUAAAUGUCAAAACCAUUGUUGAGCCAUCUGGUGCUCGGGCCGAACCAGCGGCGGUAGUACCACCCUAAAAAUCAGGCACACGUUCAGCAGGUAUUGUUAGCAAAACGAAAAAAAAAGACAGAAAAAAGCCCACUCUCUGGCCCAACAACUAACACGUAGAAUCUCACGGCAACUCCAACCGCACGGCCGCACGGGCGUUUCGCGAGCCGCGAGCGCAUCGUCUUCCCUGCAGGCUGCAGUCCGGCUUCCAUGUACGACUCCCCGUCCAGACUGCAAUUCCCCACGAGAUCAAAGCCUCGGCCAGGCACCUGUGCGUGCGAGGAGCAGCACUGCAGCAGGACGCGAGGGCGUGAACAGGCACCGUCAGUUCCAAUCUUGUUCCUUCUGAUUUCUGAAGCUUUCAAGCCUAACCUAAGGUGCGAUUUCUUGAGAAUUGAGAUCAUUAGCUGUUUCACGCUUUACAUUGAUUGAUAAUUGUUCAGAUUGUGUAGAAGUUUUAGUGAAACAUAAGUUGAGAAAUAAGUUGGGCGAUAGUGUUUUGGAUGAUUGUCUCGUCACGUUCAUUGAGCGAGAAAUUUUCAGCAAGGUAAAAGAUGAUGACAUAAUUGAGACUUUCAUGGCCAUGAAAAGACGCAAGCCUGAGAAGAAGAAAAAGUACUAGCGUCGUCUUAGUUUCAAAAAUGUUGCAGGUAUGUAGUGUUCUUUUAUGCAAAUUUGAGACUUUUAAGACCUUAUGGAUCAGUUUUUUUUU
rnacentral:lncRNA from 1 species